UUCUGUGUUUCUCAUGAUCUAUAAAAUAUAUAUACCUAAUGAAUAUUAUAAUGGAAUUGGAAAUGGAAAAUUGUAAUGGGGGCAUUCCGAGAAUUGAACUCGGGACCUCUCGCACCCUAAGCGAGAAUCAUACCACUAGACCAAAUGCCCUGAUGUUGAAGUUUUUUUAAUGGUGAUUGGUAAGCUUGUUGGUAGAACACACUAAGUUUUUGGGUUAAAUGAACAUUAUGAAUAGAAAGUCAACAAUCUCAUGCCACAUAAGGCAUCUAAAACAAUUGAACUCAAAACCUCCCAUAUCAAAUUGAUUGUUUUUUUCUUAUGCUAACUUAGGAAUUGAAAAUCUACCAAAUUUGUUAAUGGUAAAAGUGAAGGGGCAUUCUGCAUAGAAUCAUUUCUAUUUGAUUAUACAUAAUUUAUUUAUUGUUCUUUAUUUUAAUUCAGAUGAUAUCCUCUUGAUGUUGGGCAUGGCUUGCUACAUAUUCAAGCAUUCAUCCUCCAUUAUUUGAUUAUAAAUGAACUUCAAGGUGGGAUUCUGGUUGGUUGCACUAAAGCAUGCAUCAUUCUUCUCUGAAUGAAUAUAGAUGAGGUUCCAGGUGGGAUUGAUUGGCUACAUUCAAGCAUGCAUCAUUCAUGUCUGGUUAGGAUCCUUGAUUAUAGCUGGUGGAUUCUGAUUGGCUGGCGUUCAAGCAUGCACCCUUCAUGUCUGAUGUGCUUCCAGGUGGGAACAAGAACAUGGCAUGGCUGGCUAGUGUUCAAGCAUUCAUCCUUCAUUAUUUGAUGAUAUCCCCUUGAUGUUGGGCAUGGCUUGCUACAUAUUCAAGCAUUCAUCCUCCAUUAUUUGUACAAUUGACCGAUACGUGGUUGGUGGAGGGGCUGUUUUUUUCAAUGGAGGUUGGUAAACUUAAAGGUAAAAUAAUAGUUGGCCUGUUGCGUUUAUUUCUAAUUUUCUAAUUUUAACUUAAAAAGUAAUAAAUUUUUAUUUGCUUUAUUUUACUUUUUCAAUCUCUUCCUCUCUUUCUAUCUUGUUCACCAUCAAUUGCAAUUGCCAUCGUUUAUACCGUAACUGUUAAUUUUUUUUUUUUUUUUUCCAUUCUCUUUUCCCUAAAAA